rnacentral:lncRNA from 1 species
AAUCAGCGUUUAGACAUAAAUCUAUUUUUUCGUACGAUCAUAAUAUUUCAGUUUGCGUUUACGUUUUGAUUUCAAUCAUAACUGCAAACUGCCUUUAUAUCCUUGCUUAAACUGCAUCUCAACUAAUCAAGUGAUUUACGAAUCAGCAUUUAGACGUAAAUCAGCUUCUUCGUACGAACGUCGUAUUUCAGUUUGCACUUAUAUU